rnacentral:rRNA from 1 species
CCUACGGGAGGCAGCAGUGGGGAAUAUUGGACAAUGGGGGGAACCCUGAUCCAGCCAUGCCGCGUGUGUGAAGAAGGCCCUCGGGUUGUAAAGCACUUUCAGUGAGGAAGAACGCCUGGUGGUUAAUACCCAUCAGGAAAGACAUCACUCACAGAAGAAGCACCGGCUAACUCCGUGCCAGCAGCCGCGGUAAUACGGAGGGUGCGAGCGUUAAUCGGAAUUACUGGGCGUAAAGCGCGCGUAGGUGGCUUGAUAAGCCGGUUGUGAAAGCCCCGGGCUCAACCUGGGAACGGCAUCCGGAACUGUCAAGCUAGAGUGCAGGAGAGGAAGGUAGAAUUCCCGGUGUAGCGGUGAAAUGCGUAGAGAUCGGGAGGAAUACCAGUGGCGAAGGCGGCCUUCUGGACUGACACUGACACUGAGGAGCGAAAGCGUGGGUAGCAAACAGGAUUAGAUACCCUAGUAGUC